CCUUUUAUGUUUUUUUGCUUUCGAAGUGAUUUUUUUUUUGGGGGUAAAAGAAGUGAUUUUGUGAGUAUAGUGUGGUGAUUUUUUUAGUACAGUAUUGAAGAAUUCAAUAUGAAGAAAGUUUCUCAAUUAUAAUCUAGGGCUUCCACUGGUGAGGAAUAUCAGUGAGCUUACGCAGGAUAGUUAUGGUAGACCCGGUUUGUCUCACAUGACCAUAGCCGGUUUGCUUUUACAUGGGAUGAAAGAGGUUGAGGUGUGGCUGCAAACUUUUGCUCCUGGAUCUCAUACUCCAAUUCAUAGGCAUUCAUGCGAGGAAGUGUUCGUGGUACUAAAAGGGAGUGGGACUCUUUAUCUUGCUUCUAAUUCACACUCCAAAUACCCUGGCAACCCACAAGAGUUUCCUAUAUUCUCUAAUAGCACGUUUCAUGUCCCUGUUAAUGAUGCUCAUCAGAUAUGGAACACAAACAAAGAGGAGGAUUUACAGUUCUUGGUUAUUGUCUCUCGUCCUCCAGUGAAAGUGUUUAUAUAUGAUGACUGGCAUAUGCCGCAUACUGCAGCCAAAUUGAAGUUCCCUUAUUAUUGGGAUGAAGAGUGUUACCUGAUGCCUCCAACAAAAGAUAAGCUUUAACUUGAAAGCAAGAAUCUUGCACAAUUAGUGGAAGUCAAAUUUUAUCCAAUCAGUUGCAAGCAUGACGCAUGCAGUGUUCUCAUUUCAAGAGUUGUUAGAUGGAUGUAAAGGCAUUGAGUAUAUUUGAGGUCCACAGUUCUUUGCUACGAUGGACUAUUAUCCAAGUUAUUGAGGGCUCACAUCUCAAAACUACUGAUGCAGAAUGUGCCACAAAAGUGUAUUGUCGCUUCGUGUUUGAUGAUGCGCAUGUGCGUUUAGCUUUUUGCCCCUUGUAUUGUCAUAGUUUACUCUGUGGUCCUUUUGUUUGCUUGAAGUAUUAGUUGUGAUUUCAGUAAUAUAUUCCGUGUUAAUGCCUCGGGGUUUUGGAAUGAAAAAGUUAUACUAUUUUUUAGCCAACUGUACACGUUGUAUGGUGAAUUUGAGCGCCUGGUUUAUCCUUUUUUCCAUUUUUUUGGGGGGAAAAGGCUAACAUUGUUACCGUUGUUCAUGUUUGGUUGUAUUGAAUGCAGUUUCUUCAAUGUAUUGAGUAUCCUUGUUUUCUGUUCUGGCCCCUCUAUUUGCCAUUACUUUACUUUUUUUCCUUCUUUUUUCUCACUGGUUUCCUUUUUUCAUACGAGUAGUUGUUUUGUUUCUGAGCUGAUAUUGUGACAAACUAACUCUUGUCUUUUGGUUGACUGAUUUG